UACGUAGGUGGCAAGCGUUGUCCGGAAUCACUGGGCGUAAAGGGCGCGUAGGUGGCCUGAUAAGGGUGUGGUGAAAGUCCGGGGCUCAACCCCGGAUCUGCCGUGCCGACUGUUGGGCUGGAGUACUGUAGGGGCAGGCGGAAUUCCGGGUGUAGCGGUGGAAUGCGUAGAGAUCCGGAGGAAGACCGGUGGCGAAGGCGGCCUGCUGGGCAGUUACUGACACUGAGGCGCGACAGCGUGGGGAGCAAACAGG
rnacentral:rRNA from 1 species